CGGUAAUUCUGUUAUCUUUCCUGACAAGAGGAGAAAGUGGACCCAUCUUUGAGCUGGGAGAGUGCAGCACGUUGCACGCUGUGGCUUCGAGUUCAGAUGGGACUGUCCUGCUGUGAAAUGAAAGAAGAGCAUGGGAGACUCCCUGGGCAGGACCGGGCACAGGUGAGGAGGUCUUCAGGUGCUGGGCUGGCUGCAACCCCAUUGCUACAGGGCUAAAAGGCAGGAGCAGGAAAGCAGCCAUGGGGCUGGAGGUGACAGAGCAGAGACCCUGCAGCCCUCUGAGGAGCAGCGGCAGGUCUGGAAACCCCGGCAGAUGCUGUUCGUGACACUGAUUAGCAAGACUCAGCUGUCGUAAUAGGACAGGCCCCUCGCCUGCAAGCCUUGGUGGUGAGUUCUGCUUUGGUUUCUAUUAACAAAUCUCUGUGGUUAUGCGCUCAUGCUGCGCAGUGAGGGGCGGGGAGUUCAAAGCCAAGAUAAAUAGUCUUGGGGUCUGGCUAGGGCUCUAGGAAAACAGAGACUGCAGCGAGUAAUUUGGUUAAUGUGCUCAGAUACAACCAUUAGCCCGUCAGUGCUUCCUGUGAAGGAGGCUCAGCCAGAGAAAGCUGGACCGCAGCGGGUUAGACACAACCAGCGUGGCUUUGCAAAGCCACCGUGCUGCAGUGCACGGGCUGACCUGGCAGCGAGACAGCCACACGUCCCCGUCUUCUUGUCCUGGAGCCAGUUGUGGUGCAGAUGGGAAUGCAAAAUCCCUGCCUUGCCUUUGCUCCAAGGGACACGAGUGAUUCGCGGUGGCCUGGUGCAUCACAGAGGACAGAGGCUGUGCUUGUCCUUCUUCCACCUUCCUGUUUGCCUGGGCAGGAAACCAGUGAGUGGGAUGGGAAAGGUCUGUCCCGGGCAGAGCUGCAACUGGGUCCCCUUCACUGCAGUGAUUUGUCUGUGAGGGGUUUGGAUCAGGCUUGUUCAGCUGAUGGGAUGGGAUGGGGAGCCCAGAUCUCCCGCAGCCAUUCAAACGCUCUGCUGGGUUCUUCUUGGUGAUAGAUGUUGUUUUUCUCAUUAUGGUAUUAAUAUUCCUUCCCCCUUCUUGAUUCCCAGGUGUGCUGAGGUGUAUUUACAUCACCCUGGCUACAUAUAUAGGUACCAAAUUGGGUAUGAGCAGGGUCUACAGCUAAGCGUAUCCAUACCCUUUGGCCAAAGAAAUGUGGGGCUCUGCUUUGCACACAAGUCUGGCCUUGGAGAUUCCAGGAGAAGACUGGCUUCUGUGUCCCCGCGUCCAGGCAUUCUGCAAGUCUGUGUCCUUUAAUGUGGGUCUGAAAGAGCAACAGCUCUGUCAAUCCUUGGAGUGAGAGCUUGUGAUGAGCAAGAAAGCCGGAUAAUCUGCUGUCACCUUGAGAAGCAGUGCUGAGGUGUUCAGCUCCCCUGAUUGUCUUCUUUUGACAGAGAAGAGAGAGUAAUCCCAGAAACAACAGGCUCCCCUGGGAAUCUAGAGUCCUUCCAUUGCAGCACCUCUUUAUUAUUUAUUUAUGUUUCUUGUAGCAAACGUCUCCUGCCGUCCUGGUCUGUCCUGUUGACACCACAAGAAUGAGAGGGAGGGAAACCGUGCAGCCCCUCCUGCCUGCUGGCUCCCUCGCUCCCCUUUACUGGCUUCAGGAAGCAGGACCAGGAGUCAAACCAAGCCAGUUUGCUGCAAAGAAGGAAGAAAACUCAGGAUGCGCUUGGGACUCUGGACUUUGAUUUUAAUUUAUCCUCACAGAAAGGUCUGUACCUGCUGCAGCGUACAAUCCUGCCCCCACACCUGCCUCCGUCGGCACACGGGGCCGGCAGCUGGAGAUGGGAAGCAGCCGUCCCUGUGCAAGAGCAGGGCGUGAGCGCUAAACCCUGCCCGUGACAUGUCAGCGGCGCUGGGAACAUCCAACUUGGCCCCGAGACAGCGCGCAGAGCUCCGAGCUGCUGCUACACCUCCGUUCACUGCCUGCUCUGAUUGAUUCCAGCCUCCCAAUAACAUUUCAGAUGCAGCUGGUUUGGUGGAAAACAGCUUUUUCCUCCUGGAUUGUUGCGAACGGGCCACAUUGUAAUUAAAAGCCAGUGAGUUGUGGGUACUGGA